rnacentral:rRNA from 1 species
AUGCGUGGGUUUAAUGAAACCUGGUGCGGCUGGGUUAAAAAAAUUCUUUAUAAUGGCACAGUCAGCAUCAAACUAAACAACUGUGUGGGCCCCUACUUCCAAAGUGCUAAGGGGGUGCGGCAGGGUGACCCACACUCUCCUUUCCUGUUUAAUCUUGCUAUGGAGUGCCUGACCAAAAUGAUUAAGAAUGCCCAGAAAAACAAACUGAUCACGGGAUUAGCUUCCGAUCUGAUUCAGGAUGGGGUUGCGGUGCUACAAUAUGCGGAUGACACUAUAAUCUGCUUGGAACAUGACAUAGAUAAAGCGGUCAACUUGAAGUUGCUUCUUUAUACUUUUGAAAUGAUGUCUGGCCUUAAGGUGAAUUUCCAGAAAAGCGAAAUUCUUACUGCGGGUGGGGAUGACACUGUUGUUAAAGAAUAUGCUGAGUUGUUUAAUUGUGAUAUUGGGAGCUUCCCUAUUAAGUACCUAGGGAUGCCUGUGAGUUACACAAACUUACGCAACUCUGAUUGGGAGUUCAUUGUGGUUAAAUACCUAAAAAGGUUCGAAGCCUGGAUCGGCAAUGCCGCAUCGAUGGGAGGCAGGUUAACAUUACUUGACUCGGUCCUUACUCAGCUAUCCAUUUUUCACAUGUCUAUGUGGCUUAUGAAUAAAACAUUCAUUGAAAAGCUGGAUAAACAUAGACGUAGAUUUUUCUGGCAAGGGUGUAAUAAGAAAAAAAAAGAUAUCACCUUGUCAGGUGGAACAGGAUCUGUAGAUCCAAAGACAAAGGAGGUCUGGGGGUGA